UUCAAUUGGUAGGGCACUUGUUUGCGAGGUAUGAAACGGCCAUUUUCAUGUCGGAGUUCGGACAUGUAACAACGUGCUUAAUUUACGUGUGCAAACUUUAUAGUGAAACUGAAAUAUUAUGAUCUCACAAUGCCAUCAAAAUAUCACCGUAAACCAGGUAGUCGUCGCUAUAUCGAUUAUACAGAUGAAGAACUUGAAGAAUGCUUGAAUGUUGUGAGGUCCAGGGCCAUGCCCCAGCGAGAAGCUGCCGCUAUGCUUGGGAUAAUAUUAUCCGUAAGAUUAAUGUUCCCGAAUUU